UGUGAGGGUUGCUGGAGGUAUCAGAAGUGCGAAUGCUGACAUAAGUAACGAUAAAGCGGGUGAAAAGCCCGCUCGCCGGAAGACCAAGGGUUCCUGUCCAACGUUAAUCGGGGCAGGGUGAGUCGACCCCUAAGGCGAGGCCGAAAGGCGUAGUCGAUGGGAAACGGGUUAAUAUUCCCGUACUUGGUGUUACUGCGAAGGGGGGACGGAGAAGGCUAUGUUGGCCGGGCGACGGUUGUCCCGGUUUAAGCGUGUAGGUGUGUGUUCCAGGUAAAUCCGGUUCACUUUAACACUGAGGCGUGACGACGAGGCACUACGGUGCUGAAGCAACAAAUGCCCUGCUUCCAGGAAAAGCCUCUAAGCAUCAGGUAACAUCAAAUCGUACCCCAAACCGACACAGGUGGUCAGGUAGAGAAUACCAAGGCGCUUGAGAGAACUCGGGUGAAGGAACUAGGCAAAAUGGUGCCGUAACUUCGGGAGAAGGCACGCUGACACGUAGGUGAAGUGAUUUACUCAUGGAGCUGAAGUCAGUCGAAGAUACCAGCUGGCUGCAACUGUUUAUUAAAAACACAGCACUGUGCAAACACGAAAGUGGACGUAUACGGUGUGACGCCUGCCCGGUGCCGGAAGGUUAAUUGAUGGGGUCAGCGCAAGCGAAGCUCCUGAUCGAAGCCCCGGUAAACGGCGGCCGUAACUAUAACGGUCCUAAGGUAGCGAAAUUCCUUGUCGGGUAAGUUCCGACCUGCACGAAUGGCGUAAUGAUGGCCAGGCUGUCUCCACCCGAGACUCAGUGAAAUUGAACUCGCUGUGAAGAUGCAGUGUACCCGCGGCAAGACGGAAAGACCCCGUGAACCUUUACUAUAGCUUGACACUGAACAUUGAGCCUUGAUGUGUAGGAUAGGUGGGAGGCUUUGAAGUGUGGACGCCAGUCUGCAUGGAGCCGACCUUGAAAUACCACCCUUUAAUGUUUGAUGUUCUAACGUGGACCCGUAAUCCGGGUUGCGGACAGUGUCUGGUGGGUAGUUUGACUGGGGCGGUCUCCUCCUAAAGAGUAACGGAGGAGCACGAAGGUUGGCUAAUCCUGGUCGGACAUCAGGAGGUUAGUGCAAUGGCAUAAGCCAGCUUGACUGCGAGCGUGACGGCGCGAGCAGGUGCGAAAGCAGGUCAUAGUGAUCCGGUGGUUCUGAAUGGAAGGGCCAUCGCUCAACGGAUAAAAGGUACUCCGGGGAUAACAGGCUGAUACCGCCCAAGAGUUCAUAUCGACGGCGGUGUUUGGCACCUCGAUGUCGGCUCAUCACAUCCUGGGGCUGAAGUAGGUCCCAAGGGUAUGGCUGUUCGCCAUUUAAAGUGGUACGCGAGCUGGGUUUAGAACGUCGUGAGACAGUUCGGUCCCUAUCUGCCGUGGGCGCUGGAGAACUGAGGGGGGCUGCUCCUAGUACGAGAGGACCGGAGUGGACGCAUCACUGGUGUUCGGGUUGUCAUGCCAAUGGCACUGCCCGGUAGCUAAAUGCGGAAGAGAUAAGUGCUGAAAGCAUCUAAGCACGAAACUUGCCCCGA
rnacentral:rRNA from 1 species